rnacentral:lncRNA from 1 species
UAGCAAGCAUUGUGCUUUUUUCUCACUCCAAUUAUCACUCUCUUUUUCUCCUUUUUUGGUGUUUUGUGAAAGUGAACUGAAAAAUCCCAUGUUAUCCACCUCUUCUUGUCUCAAAGAAUUGAUAUGGGAGUUUUCAAGAAUCAACCUCAUCAGGUGUCAAAGGUUGUAGCUUUCUUGAAUUUUAAUGUGUUAAAUGUUAAUGCAAAUGUUGUCCACCUCUUGUUUUCUCAAAGAUUUGACAUGGGGGUUUCCAAGAAUCAACCUCAUUAGGUGUCAAAGGUUGUAGCUUGCUUGAUUGGGUGUCAAAGGUUGUAGCUUUCUUGAUUGGGUGUCAAAGGUUGUAGCUUUCUUGAUUUUAAUGUGUUAAAUGUUAAUGCAAAUGCUAAAAUGUUGUUGCUUUGUGGAUCA